GAUGAAGAACGGUAGCGAAAUGCGAUAAGUAAUGUGAAUUGCAGAAUUCAGUGAAUCAUCGAAUCUUUGAACGCACAUUGCGCCCGCCAGUAUUCUGGCGGGCAUGCCUGUUCGAGCGUCAUUACAACCCUCAGGCCCCCGGGCCUGGCGUUGGGGAUCGGCGAGGCGCCCCCCGCGGGCACGCGCCGUCCCCCAAAUACAGUGGCGGUCCCGCCGCAGCUUCCAUUGCGUAGUAGCUAACACCUCGCAACUGGAGAGCGGCGCGGCCAUGCCGUAAAACACCCAACUUCUGAAUGUUGACCUCGAAUCAGGUAGGAAUACCCGCUGAACUUAAGCAUAUCAAUAAGCGGAGGA
rnacentral:misc_RNA from 1 species